UAGACGUCCAUGAUCGAAAGCGGCCU
rnacentral:sRNA from 1 species